AUUAAAUUGAAAUAUCCAUAAGCUUAAAAAAUCAGUUAAACUGUUCACAGUCCAUGCAAAAGUAGAAUAUGACGAGUGUCGAAGCAAGUUUUAGAUUAAUGCAUGGAAAUCCUCUUCCUAAUCUUAAAACUGGCACCAAACAAAAACUUACGAACCUUAUUAAAAAAAAAAAACCUUUAAUGCACACCCUCCUUUGAUUAUUCAAAAAAAUUACAGAUCCUGCGACGACGAGAAGAUGAGCAUCCGACCGACGUUGGUUUUGUAAUGGAUAUAUCUUGCACCAAGAAGGCUACUUCUACUAUGAAGACAUCUGGAUUUAGUCUCCCUACUCAAUUAAGUUUUAUAUUUUUAAAGCUACGUAAAUUUAUUUGGAAUUGAAGGAGAAAUUUUCACACAAAUAACAGUUUGAAGCUGUGUUAUUUACUUGGCAGUUGCUGUUCAUAAAACUUUCCUUAUGCUAUGAUAGCUGGCUAAAGAGGCAAUCAUAAAUGUGCAUGUAAAUAACACGAGACACAUAUUUUCCCACUUUUGUUCCCUUGUGUAAUUGAAUGAACGCAAAUUUAAUUUUUAAACUUGAUAAAAGUGUCCUUGAAAAAAAAAACAAUUCUCAAUUUAGAUUUUUUUUUGUUUUUCCCAGAAGCCACCUUGUCGUUAAAUACCCACUAUUUUGUUAAGAUUUUUUAAUAUUGUUGUGCUGUUGUCAUGGUGGAGUGUAGUAAUGAGCGAGAAGAGGGAUAUAUGACACUAUCCUAUUUGAAAUUUUUUAUAAAAUAGCCGAAUGCCAAGAAAAUAGAGGAAAUAAAGUCAGAAAGCUGUUUUAUUAUUUCACCUGUUUAUAAUUUCACCAUGGCUGUUGUUGCACGCCUGCACCAGCCUUCGAUUUCUUUACUUUGUUAAGCAAGAGUCGGUAUAAACCCGUUGUUUAUGUGUAAAAACAAAAAGUUGAGGUUAGAUGGUGACCAAAAACGUUACCUUUUGAGUGGCAUUCGAUUUUUAGUAAAAAAAAAUCAAAGAAUCGUUGCUACCAUUUUCGUGAUGAAUAAAACAAUAAAACGAAACUUACCACGACGAAAUAUAAAUAUAACUAUGUUAAAAUAUAUGUA